GAUGAACGCUGGCGGCGUGCCUAAUACAUGCAAGUCGAGCGAACAGACGAGGAGCUUGCUCCUCUGACGUUAGCGGCGGACGUGUGAGUAACACGUGGAUCACCUACCUAUAAGACUGGGAUAACUUCGGGAAACCGGAGCUAAUCCCGUAUAAUCUAUUGAACCGCAUGGUUCAAUAGUGAAAGACGGUUUUUCGGUCACUUAUAGCUGGAUCAGCGCCGCUUUGUCUGGUUGGUAAGUUAACGGCUUACCACGGCGACGAUGCGUAGCCGACGGGAGAGGCGGAUCGGCCGCACUGGAGGUGGACCGCGGUCAAGACUCCUACGGGAGGCAGCAGUAGGGAACGGUACGCAAUGGGGGAAAGCAUGACGGAGUAACGGGGAGUGAGAGAUGAAGGUCUUCGGAUCGGAAAAACCUGUUAUUAGGGAAGAACAAAUGUCGCAGUAACCGUGGAGGUAGUGACGGUAACGAAUAAGAAAGCAACGGCUAACUACGUG
rnacentral:rRNA from 1 species